GCCCGGAGGGGAGCGCAGCGGGUGUUUUCCCUCAGGGAGCCAUCUUGGGUCCGGGCAGCUGGGAGCGACCCCCUCCCCGUUGUCCUGGGGCCAUCUUGGGGCCGGGCAGAGGCUGCUCGGCGGGUCCGUGGAGUGAUUGGGUGGAGGAAGGCGGUAUCAUCUCAGCCCAUCUCUGGUGGCUGGAGUUACAGAGAGGCUGGGGUGAUGAUGAAGUGCUGCAGAGACCCAGAGAACAGCUGGACAGAGAUGGAGAUGCAGGGUGGUUGCUUCAUGACUUUCAUGGCUUCAGAAGAAAGUGGUGGCAGGGCAGUGGGUGUGACUGGACCAGGCUGGUGGGUCAACUGGAGCUUCUGUGCAAAUUGAGAAGCUCCCAGAUUGUCCUGGGAAAUCUAACCAAGUCUCUGGUGUUGGCUAUUUCCUGAAUCCAUGUGGUUGGGAGUGGGAGGAGAAGCAAGAUCAUCUCUUAGGAUGAGCAGGAGAAGCUGCAGGGUGACAGCAAUGGGAAGAUCAGAUGGCUCUUGUAGUGGGUAGAAGCAGCCUAAGCAGCAGUGGAGGAUGAUGCAGCAGCAGGUAUGAGACACUUUGUUAUGGCUGUUCUGAGUCCCUGUGCCUGUUUUGUACUCAUCUUGACUGCCUUGCUCUCCUUGUAUCCAUUUCCAUGCUCUGUUAUGAUGUUGGCAGUGCUGGACAUCAGCAGCCUGGAGAAGAGAAGGCUCCAGGGAGACCUUAGAGCACUUUCCAGUGCCUGAAGGGGCUCCAGGAAAGCUGGGGAGGGGCUUGGGA